rnacentral:rRNA from 1 species
UACAGAGGGUGCAAGCGUUGUUCGGAAUUAUUGGGCGUAAAGCGCGUGUAGGCGGCUUUGCAAGUCGGGUGUGAAAUCCCUCGGCUCAACCGAGGAAGUGCGCCCCGAAACUGCAGAGCUUGAGUACCGGAGAGGAUGGCGGAAUUCCCGAAGUAGAGGUGAAAAUUCGUAGAUAUCGGGAGGAACACCGGUGGCGAAGGCGGCGUCCUGGACCAACACUGACACUGAUGAGCGAAAGCCAGGGGAGCAAACGGG